GGUCUUGAGAACCAGUGCAAAGCCCCGGCUCGCUGGUCGGCAACCCCCCUCGUGUGGCGGGGGUGCUCCGGGUGAUGACCUGGUCUCGCAGGUAGCGAGGCAACGCCCGGCGC
rnacentral:ncRNA from 2 species